AUUGAACGCUGGCGGCAUGCUUUACACAUGCAAGUCGAACGGUAACAGGUUAAGCUGACGAGUGGCGAACGGGUGAGUAAUGCAUCGGAACGUGCCCGGUCGUGGGGGAUAACACUUCGAAAGAAGUGCUAAUACCGCAUACGAUCUGAGGAUGAAAGCGGGGGACCGUAAGGCCUCGCGCGAUCGGAGCGGCCGAUGUCAGAUUAGGUAGUUGGUGGGGUAAAGGCUCACCAAGCCGACGAUCUGUAGCUGGUCUGAGAGGACGACCAGCCGCACUGGGACUGAGAGACGACCCAGACUCCUACGGGAGGCAGCAGUGGGGAAUUCUGGACAAUGGGCGCAAGCCUGAUCCAGCAAUGCCGCGUGCAGGAAGAAGGCCUUCGGGUUGUAAACUGCUUUUGUACGGAGCGAAAAGGCUCUCUCUAAUACAGGGGGCUCAUGACGGUACCGUAAGAAUAAGUACCGGCUAACUACGUGCCAGCCGCCGCGGUAA
rnacentral:rRNA from 1 species